GCAGAGAUGAGGAAGCAGGACUGAGCAGAGAAGCCAGCUGGAUGCAGCCUCAGCCUUGGGCUCCCGAGAGGAGAAGAGGACUUAGACGCCUCUUCCAUAAGUUGAAGAGUUGAAGAUGCAAGAAGCAACUACUGCAAUAUGUAAGAAGCCAUUCAAUGACAAUACUCCGUGGGACCAAAGCUAUCCAGACAACUAAAGGUCCAUGAAAGAAAACAAUCAACAAUCCUGCUCCAUUCAAUAACACACUCCAUGUCCAGCCAGGACCCAGAGAUACAGUUCUGACUGUGUCCUAUAGAGAGAUUGAGUCUCACAGGGAAAAUAUGGAUGCCAAAAUAAUACAAGUUGUUAUUUAUAUAACUAUACUUUUCUCCAUUACUUGCCUUUUUCAUUUAAGUCUUCUCAUUAAAUAACACAUGGAACAUCCA